rnacentral:rRNA from 1 species
AGAAUCAACGCUGGCGGCGUGCCUAACACAUGCAAGUCGCACGAGAAAGGGUAGCAAUACCUGAGUAAAGUGGCGCACGGGUGAGUAACACGUGAAUGAUCUACCUCCGAGUGGGGAAUAAACUGAGAGAAAUCUUAGCUAAUACCGCAUAACACUUACGAGUCAAAGCAGCAAUGCGCUUGGAGAGGAGUUCGCGGCCGAUUAGUUAGUUGGCGGGUAAUGGCCCACCAAGACGAUGAUCGGUA